UUUUUUGCAUGCAACACGAACAUUUCUGACGAAUGCACCUAGAAAAAAGUUGCUUGUCACAAUGAUCUUUGGUGGAUAAAUGGGGACAUAUUUCCUUUCCUUGUCUGAGGAGAAACCCGUUCGUUCCUCUAUCAAGAGCGACGCCUGCUGUCCAGUUUCCUGAGGCUGCACAGCUGAUUUAACCCUCAUGCCCCACUUUGCAUUUAUUGCACAGAAUCAAAAGGUACACUGCUGAAAAAUCACCAGUAGAAUCUCAGGCACAUUUCUACUGACCCAGGAAGAGUGGUGGAUGUUCUCCUUUCUCUUGGUGGUUGGGUUUCUUGCCUGACCCUUUCCUACCACCAAGUGCUUGUGCAGCCUUCACUCACUGGAUGCUCACAGACAGGAACAGCAGACACAGUCAGACAUCCCUGGUGCUUGGCUUUAGGAAACACGGCAGCUAUGGACAAGACAACUCAGGAGUUAAUUCAUAUGUGAAAAGUUCUGCCCUGAAAUAACUCGAGGUGCUCUCAUUUUAUGAACAGUUGUUUAUAGAUGGUUAAAAACUUCACUGAAAGGUUGUGUUGAUUUAUCGGUCUUCACUGAACUCUGCAGUUUGCAGUGGUCAGGCAGAACUGGGUGGCGGGCUCUGCUCACCAGAUUUGCACGCUAUGCAUUGCCCAGAACACCUGAUCAGCAGGUUGCUGGCUAUGGGCUGAUCGAAGGAAAGCAGAACACGUCCCAGGGAUGUGAACGUCCUACUGGCAAAUCAGUAGUCUCUCCAUGUCUUCUUAGGUACCAUCCCUACUGAAAACCAUAUCAUUCUAUGGUGGUUAUGGAAAAUGCCUGAAAACAACAAAGUGCGAUGUUCCUCACUAGCAAAGCUGAAGAUAAUUCACUUGAAGCAUCACCCUGAGCUUCAUCAUUUAAUAUCAGGCCAAAGAGCUGCUAUAAUCAUAUUAAAUAAUGGUAUUUCCUCCUAGUAAGUGAACAACUGUCUACUGUCAAGGGGCCAGAAGGCCAGAAGGUGGUGUCACACUCCCAUGGGGGACCCUAGAAAAUGCCGCAUAUUACAGAAAACGCUCUGCACUGCUGGCCUGUAGAGAAGAAACUGAAAAUGCAUGUGCAGCGAUCUCUGACUGAGGUCACCCAAGCAGCAGUUUGCCAUAGUAAUAAAUGUCUCGAAGUGACUGACCACCACUCUGAGCACCUUUUGUAAUUGUAGAGGCCAAAG